AUACGACUACAUAUCAGGCAUAUCAAUAAGCGGAGGAAAAGAAACUAACAAGGAUUCCCUUAGUAACGGCGAGUGAAGCGGGAAGAGCUCAAAUUUGAAAUCUUCAAGGUUCUACCUUGACGAAUUGUAGUUUAAAGAAGUGUUUUCUGUUAGAUGAGUAGCAAAAGUUCCUUGGAAUGGGACAUCAUAGAGGGUGAGAAUCCCGUAUUUGGUUAUUCAUUCUAGCUUUGUGAUACACUUUCAAAGAGUCGGAUUGUUUGGGAAUGCAGUCCAAAAUGGGUGGUAAAUUUCAUCUAAAGCUAAAUAUUGGCGAGAGACCGAUAGCGAACAAGUACCGUGAGGGAAAGAUGAAAAGAACUUUGAAAAGAGAGUUAAACAGUACGUGAAAUUGUCAAAAGGGAAGCGUUUGACACCAGUGUUGUUUUUCCGAAAAUCAAUUACGAAUGGCUUGAUUUUGUGUUGUAUUGACCUUAUCAGCUUUCUUCACUUUUUUCGAGUCUCUCUUAAUGCACUUUUUGGUUAACAAGUCAACAUCAAUUUCUUUUGUUGUAAAAGAGUAUUCGGAAGGUGGCUUUCUUUUCGGAGAAAGUGUUUAUAGCCCUAUACUUCUACAAUCGGAGAGAUUGAGGUCUGCAGCGUAGAUCCUUCGGGGUUAGAUACAUUUGUGCUAAGUUGUAGCUUUUCAUAGACAACUUGUUGACUAUGUUUAGUCCAUGCGGCUUACUCGCUUAUGCUAUUUUACCUACGCUUAGGAUGUUGAGUAGCGACAUACGCAC
rnacentral:rRNA from 1 species